rnacentral:ribozyme from 1 species
UGCCCAGCAACUCCUAUCCCUACCUCCUCGCGGUACUGGCCGGGGUACGAGUAACCUUACACGCAAACAAAUUUUGUUGUAUAAUCUGCCGAAUCCAUGGUAGA